GAUAAUUAGCUGUAUGAGAGAUACGCCUUCUCCUUUUGGAGGACUAACUAUCAUCAUUUCUCUUUUAGGGAAGACCAGGGAAGGAUGGGCAUCAAGGGCCCGCUGGAUAUGAGGUAGUUGUCCUGUCAAUCAGAAAUCUGUUUCUUUCUGUCUAACAUUGUUGAUUAUGUUACUGUUUUGUAAUGCAUUUUGUGUGUGUAUGUGUGUGUGUGUGCACUAUGUUUGUUUUUGUGUUCAUGCGUGUUGUGUUUGUGUAUAUGUAACUAUGGUGAUUAUACACUCUUGCCAUUUUUAGGGGAGAAAGGGGAAUCCUGGUUUAGCAGGACCUGAUGGAAUACCUGGACCGUGGGUCAGUCAUUACUACCAUUAAUUUCAUGUUGAGAAUGUGUGCGUGUGCCAAUAAUAAUGAUUUUUUGUUGUGUGUCUACCAGGGACAGAAGGGCGACCAGGGUCAAGACGGAGACCCUGGGGAGGUGAGUGAGUCAAAGUGCCUGAUAAUGUCAGUAUCAACAUCUGGAGCGAAGGAUGAACCUACAGACACAUGCAAAUGAAACCUUCCGUAAUGAAUAAGAUUAGAAGGACUAAGAUUACAUGAACUCCUACUCUGAGACAUUUUAUGAACACAUGCCCUGGUCUCUCUGGUCUCCCCAUAGGUGACCAUGAUUGGCUGUGCCGUAAUUGGCCCGAAAGGACAACCAGGAUUUACUGGCCCCCUGGGGCCCACUGGGGUUACUGGUCCCCCAGGUACUCUACGCUCAUCCGGCAUACAGUACACACCCUUAUUGAUAUUCACCCUCCUCCUAUCCAAUCAGAUGUGAAGUAGCACUGUAUAAUCCUGCCUCAUUAACCAACAUGACCAAUCAGUGUGUCCGUAUAGCUAAUAAUAUCAACCUGUUUUCCAGGUGUCACUGGUUUCCAGGGGCCUCCUGGGUCUCCAGGUAAGCGCUGAUCCACACGCAAGCACUCACACACACACACACACACACACACACACACACACAUAUACUCAGUCUCCAUCAUGGGCUAUCUCCCCCUACACAGGUCCUAACUACGAAGGAGAUCCCGACAAUCGGGGAGUGAAGGGCCACAGUGGGCCUAAAGGGGAUAAAGGAGACCCAGGACCCAUCAUCCAGGGAGAGCCAGGCAGGGAAGGCUCACAAGGAACAACUGGAGACCUUGGACCCCCGGGACCACCUGGAGACUCUGAUAAUCUGAAGGGCCUUAUAGGACCUCCGGGGGCAAAGGGAGCCAAGGGAGAACAAGGGUACAGGGGCCAAUAUGGAUUGAAAGGUGAGCUUUGUCUGAUUCCUCUUCUGAUUGGAGGGGCAGUCAGUAUUGAGUAUACUGAUUGGCUGGGCUGUCC
rnacentral:lncRNA from 1 species